ensembl:snoRNA small nucleolar SNORD12/SNORD106
AAUGUGGUUAAUGAUGCUGAACUUUUUUCCCCAUCUUAUCGACCAUGGUGAUUACUGACUGAAACUAAGCCAGUUUUGUCUGAAACCACAUU